ensembl:lncRNA LNCDAT lncRNA divergent activator of TBXT
AUGGGCUCCCGCACGCCUGUUUCAUGUAAAUCCGGGGCCCCAGCCCUGCGAGCCCCGGCCCAGCCCCUACACCCCCGCCCUUCUCCAAAUGUUUGCACCUCCAUCAAAGCGGCGGGGCAAGCCCCGGAGGAAGGUAAGCUGGACGCCCCGGCCUGCCCCAGCCCGCCCCAGCCCGCCCCAGCCCGCACUUCCGCGAGGGGCUGCCCGGCAGCCUGCGAUGCUCCCUGAUUCCCGCGCGGGGUCCUCCUCGCUUUCCCAGCGCGCCCGGAUCCCGCAGCCGCGCCAGGCUGGAACGUUCGCGCGGCCUCACCUGUCCCCGCUCCAGGCGCGCCUCCCUCCCCUCCCAGGGACGAGCGCAUUUGGCCGGGCUUUGGGAUGCGCCGCGCUCGUCUCGCCGCAGUAGUAGUGCUGUUCUCGCGCCUCCGAUGCCUCAACUCUCCAGUCUGGCAGUUUCCGGUGCACCUGUCCCCACACGUCCCUCGCCCACGGAGCCCCAGGCGGCGUUACGCACACCCAGGAUCGUGGAUCAGCCUGCCCCGGCGUCGGGUGUCCCCGCGGCUCUCACCAUCUGGAAAAGGAAGGACUUGUUGCCGAGGUCAGCGCGCGCAUCGAGUGUGCCAGGCGUGUGCGUGGUUUCUGCUGUGUCAUUGCUUUCACGGAAGAGAGAAUGUCUGAAGCAUUGAAGAGUACGACCCAGGAAUUGAACCACCCAAGUCGGAGGAGGUAGAGGUUGGAAGUCACCGACUUUGGCCAGCACUUGUGUAGUGUCACCUGUCUUCACUUUCUAACGUUUAUUUUUCCUCCCCUUUCUGUGGCUGAUUUUCUGAUCUUUGUUCCUCGGUUCCCAGGACCAGGCCCACUCCCUCCGCCUUUUCAGCGAAGGCUGCAGUGCAUGACAGUUUACAGCCAAAACUUCCUCCAGCCCGGCUAUAAAGAAUUCCCAGUUAAUAACAAUGCGCUUCCUUGGGAGGAAAGAGGGGCUGAGGCACCGCCAGCUGUUUCGCUCCCAGGGUCUAUCUCUCCUUGGCAAGCCCAGCCAUUCAGAGAAAAACAAGACAAAGCCUUAUGGCUGGGCCUCAGGAUGCAACUGUCCCACCGAAAACAUGCUUGAAACAUUUUAUAAGAAAACACACACACACACCCCACUCGACUCCCAGAGAGGCAGUUUUCCUGGGCCCAAUCCCUUCUGAAAAAGCAAAGCCAUUUAUCUUUAGAAGCAGGCAACAAUGAAGCUGUAACAGGCUCAAGGAGGGGUGGAGGACAGCCUCGCGUGACUCUUACCCCACACUCUAGUCCCUCUCUUUCUGCAAGAAAAACAAAUGAAUUUCUUUUCUGAUUAUAUAUGUACUCCUUGUAGAAAUAUUAUAUAUGUAUCUGUCUUCAUAUAUAUGUAAAACAGUCACCCACAGUAUCUGUGGGGGAUUGGUUCCAGGACCUACAAAGAUGGCAGAAUCCAGGGAUGCCCUAGUCCCUUGGCAUGGUAUUUGCAUAUAACCUAUGGACUUCCUCCAUGAACUAUAAAUCACUUCUGGAUUACUUAUAAUACCUAAUACAAUGUAACACUAUGCAAAUAGUAGUUAUACUGUAUUGCUUUUUAUUUGUAUAAUUUUUAUUCUUUCAUUAUUGGGGAGAGGGAGUUUGGAAUGUUUUCUAUCAAUUCAACCAACCACGGAUAUGGAACCUGUGGCUAUGGAGGGCUGGCUGUAUGUUUAUCUCUCUCUAUGUAUAUAAAUGCUAACCUCAAGCACUAAGCAAUGUUCAUAUUUUGGGGUGUUCCUCGUCUUUUUUUCAUUUUGUUCUUCUCAUGAGCUCCUUCUCCCACACUGACUAAGCGGACUGAUCGCAAACAGUCACAAGUUCUACAUUAGAGAUGACAGCCAUGUUUCAUGGCCAAUAAUUCUGCCACCAAUUGGUUUAUUUGUCUCUCCCAUUAAAAGAAACCCAAUGGCUUUUGUUAUUGCUUUAAA